GCCGACGUAGCUCAAUCGGCAGAGCAAUCGCCUUGUAAGCGAUAGGUUAGGGGUUCGAUUCCCCUCGUCGGCU
rnacentral:tRNA from 1 species